ensembl:lncRNA
AUGGAGGAUGACGGCGGGUUUCAGACCCAGUUCGCCUCAGUGAUGGAGAGCGUGCUGAAGGCGGCCGUCGGCGAGGCCACCAAGCUGUUCGAGCGCACCCUGCGGCAGCUGAGAGCCGAGCUCGUCCGCUUGAAGCAGGAGAAUGUGGACUUGAAGACCGGCGCUUUUGCUCACCAAUUCAAGGCAAGGCUCGCCGCAGAAGGAGCGCAGAGGACCGGUCAGACCGCAGGACCACCCAGGCGGGAUGUUGGCGUACAGUGUGAAAAGCCCCUCCUGGUGGAAAGAUGCUGCAGCCCAGCCCCGAUUGGCCUUCAACUACCAGAUAUCGCAAGUGAUGGUCUUGCAGAUUUGUGUUCCAGUGCUGCAGAGGAUGGAAACAGACAGCUUGCUUUGCUGCUCAUUAAAAAAGAACCUCAGGAGACUGACUGUGAUGACUAUGCACCUGGAUACUUUUUACUGAAGCAAGAGGGUGCUGAGCCAAUACUGGUGCGCAAGGAGCCCUUUAAGAACACAGUGGAAAAAGGUAAGGGAGUUACUGUAACUGGACAGAACAUUGU